rnacentral:rRNA from 1 species
AUUGAACGCUGGCGGCAUGCCUUACACAUGCAAGUCGAACGGCAGCACGGGAGCAAUCCUGGUGGCGAGUGGCGAACGGGUGAGUAAUGUAUCGGAACGUACCUUUCAGUGGGGGAUAACGUAGCGAAGUUACGCUAAUACCGCAUAUUCUGUGAGCAGGAAAGCAGGGGAGUCGCAAGACCUUGCGCUGAUUGAGCGGCCGAUAUCAGAUUAGCUAGUUGGUGAGGUAAAGGACUCACCAAGGCGACGAUCUGUAGCGGGUCGUGAGAGGAUGAUCCGCCACACUGGAACUGAGACACGGUCCAGACUCCUACGGGAGGGCAGCAGUGGGGAAGUUUUGGUACAAUGGGCGGCAAGCCUGAUCCAGCCAUGCCGCGUGAGUGAAGAAGG